rnacentral:rRNA from 1 species
AGCGAACGCUGGCGGCAGGCCUAACACAUGCAAGUCGAACGAACCUUUCGGGGUUAGUGGCGGACGGGUGAGUAACACGUGGGAACGUGCCUUUAGGUUCGGAAUAACUAAGGGAAACUUGUGCUAAUACCGAAUGGGCCCUUCGGGGGAAAGAUUAAUCGCCUUUAGAGCGGCCCGCGUCUGAUUAGCUAGUUGGUUGAGGUAAUGGCUCACCAAGGCGACGAUCAGUAGCUGGUCUGAGAGGAUGAUCAGCCACAUUGGGACUGAGACACGGCCCAAACUCCUACGGGAGGCAGCAGUGGGGAAUCUUGCGCAAUGGGCGAAAGCCUGACGCAGCCAUGCCGCGUGAAUGAUGAAGGUCUUAGGAUUGUAAAAUUCUUUCACCGGGGACGAUAAUGACGGUACCCGGAGAAGAAGCCCCGGCUAACUUCGUG